rnacentral:misc_RNA from 1 species
ACUACACCUGAAAACACGCGAUCUAAGGUGCACUCUCUCACUGCGGCAUUUCGGAUAAAUAAGUGAUCGUCAACCGAGGCUUGUAAAUAUCUGCCAAGCAGAAAGGAGACAACAGUGCAACUGGUGGACAGGUUUUCGGGACGCGUUUUGAACGAGCACUACUACUUGUAUAUGCAAUAUAGUGAAUUGGGAAGCUGGUCUAGCGCAAUAUGAGUGCUAUUCAUGCCCCAUUGCGGCCAUAUUUUGGUGUAUUUUCUGGUAUCAUUUGGAUCAACAAUAUUCCCAACUAAAGUUGUAAGUAAAUCCAGACUUUCACCCACAUGCUACCAGUCGA